UACAGAGGGUGCGAGCGUUAAUCGGAAUUACUGGGCGUAAAGGGUGCGUAGGUGGUUUGGUAAGUUAGGUGUGAAAGUCCUGGGCUUAACCUGGGGAUUGCGCCUGAUACUGCUAGACUCGAGUACUGUAGAGGAAAGUGGAAUUUCCGGUGUAGCAGUGAAAUGCGUAGAUAUCGGAAGGAACAUCAGUGGCGAAGGCGACUUUCUGGACAGAUACUGACACUGAGGCACGAAAGCAUGGGGAGCAAACAGG
rnacentral:rRNA from 1 species